GUGUAACAGCCUGGGCUCGGGGCUCUCUGACUCGCACCACUGCGUUGGUUGCGGGCAGAGAGUCCUGGCUCGAGUCAGUAAUAAACUUCCCUUCCUGCGAGUUGCAUUGUCUUGGAGGCCUUCUCUCUUCCCGGAGCUCGGGGAUUCGGACAUCGGGCAUAACAUUUGGGGGCUCGCCUGGGAUCCCUUUACCGGGGGAAGAGAACACUUCCAGGACAGAGGGGAAGGAUAGAUAAUAGCACCGGUGCUCAGGAAAACUCAGGGGGCCCGAAAACCCAGCACUGUGUUGUCAGCUGUUCGUGUGUUUGUCUUUGACUCUCCAUGUUUGUGUGUGUGCCGGCAUUGUCUCAGGCAGGACAGGAAGUCCAGAGUAAAACCGGGGCUCUGCUGCAAAGCAGGGAGGUAUCUGGCACAGGAAAAGCCCAGAGUAAUUCCGGGGCCCUGCUGCAAAGCAGGAAGGUAUCUGGCACAGGAAAAGCCCAGAGUAAUUCUGGGGCCCUGCUGUAAAGCAGGGAGGUAUCUGGCACAGGAGAAAGCUUUCUCUAGCCGCCGUAAGGCCGAGGCCAGUGAGCACGCUGGAAGGCAGCCGGCUCUGUGGGAAGGAGAGUUCCUCUCCUGAUCCCGAGUCUGGUCUGGUCAGGGGGCCCGAAAACCCAGUGCUGUGUUGUUGGCCGACGUUUGUCUGUCUGUGUGUUUGUCUUCGGCUCUCCGUGUUUGUCCGUGUUUGUGUGUGUGCCGGCAUUGUCUCUGGUUUUUAAUUAGACUCUUUUCAGGCAGGCAGGCAGGAGUUUCAGUGAACAGGCGAAUGGUUGUGGGGCAAUUGAUGAGUCCCAGCCAGGGCUACACUCUGGCGGACUCUGAAGGCCCUACAAUAAGUGAGCCUCAGUAACUAGAGCCCAACCAGGUGAAACUCUCCUUUCACUACAAUUGUCAGCAGCUGUUGCAGGAGCAAAUUCUGGCAGAAGCGCGGAAACGGGUCCCAGGGGCCGACGGGAGGCCAACUGCCCAGCCUCAUCUCGUGGACAAGGGGUUUCCUCUGUUGCAGCCUAACUGGGAUUUUGAGCGAGCGGAAGGUAGGGAGCGUCUCCGAGUGUACCACCAGACUCUGAUGGCUGGCCUGCGGGCCACAGCAAGAAAGCCGAUUUAGUGAGGCAAGAGCCCACUGAGAGCCCGGCAGCCUUCCUAGAGAGGCUGAUAGAAGCUUUCAGGCAAUAUACACCUAUGGACCCCCAGGCUGAGGAGUCACGUGCUGCAGUCCUGUUAGCAUUUGUAAAUCAGGCAGCCCCAGCUAUUAGGAAGAAAUUACAAAAGAUAGAGGGAUUGGGAGAACAGAUGUUACAGGAUUUAUUGAAAGCAGCUGAAAAGGUAUUUAAUAAUAGGGAGACCCCAGAAGAAAGGGAAGAACGAAUUCGACGGGAGGAAAGGGAAUUAGCUGAGAAGAUCAGGAAGGAUAGAAUGAGGGAAAACCGGAAGAACCAGAGGGAGCUAGCCCAGAUUCUUUUUGCGGGGAUAAAAGCAAGAACAGAAUUGAGGGAACCUCGAGACCCCUGGACGGGAGAAAAACAGAAACCAAAAAGGCAGGCCCUAAAGAAAGAUCAGUGUGCCUACUGCAAAGAACAGGGGCACUGGAAAAAUGAGUGCCCUAAGAGGGACCUGAGGAGAGGUACAACCAAGAGAGAGAGAAUCUCCCCUGGAACUCGAGUUCUAUAUGCGGGGGAAGACAGUGACUAGGGGAGUCAAGACUUGGCAUCCCUCCCCAAGUCCUGGGUAACGAAAAGUAGAAUUGCAGUCAUGAGGAACUGGAAAAUUCUGCUGAAGAUUACUCACAGCUGUGGCACUUUACCUUGCUGAUCAGUGGUGGGCUAUAUUGUGAAAACAUCUGUCCCUUCUAGAGAGGGUCUUAAGCAGGUGAGCACUCUUGGGGAGAGAGUGGUUAAAGCAGGAAAUGGAGAGAAAUGAGAUCCCAUUCCUGUGUCAUAGCUAAGAUUUUGUGGAAGAAAGGAGAGGCCAUUGGGUUUUAUUCAGUUAAGCCUACAGAGCUGGGAGAAUGACAGUCAUGGAUGGACUUGGAUCCCUAGCCUUAAGAGAUGAAUAAAUACCCAUUGGCCUGGGCUGAAACGGCAGGGAUGGGACUGGCCAAACAGACAUCCGGUUGUCAUCGAGCUAAAGGCCUAGGCAACUCCUGUGAGGGUGAGACAGUACCCCAUGAGCCAGGAAGCUCGGCGGGGAUUCACUCCCCACAUUCGACGUCUCAUGGAUGCCGGAAUUCUCAAGCGGUGUCAAUCCCCUUGGAACACCCCCUUACUAAGAAGCCAGGGGGGACAGAUUACCUGCGAGAAGUCAACAAAUGGAUUCCUGCAACUGUCAGUGCAACCAAGAUCUCUCAGUAUUCCAACACCACAAAGAUUUCCGUCAUGUCACUCCAGCAUCCCUAAACCAUGGCAGGUCUAAAACUAAGGAUUUUAUUAUUCUACAAAGCUCAACAUAUUCUGAGAUCCAUAUUUGAUGAUGAAAGAGAAUAUUCUUAAUAUGUUUUUAAAGAUAAGAAAAAUAUAUCCCUCAAAUUUUCUGGAAGUCUGUGUGACAGAAUUAUGAUAAUUUUCUUUGUUUGCACUUUUUAACUUUUACUGUUUUCUAUAUGGCCAUGAUUAUCAAUUCUGCUAGAGCUGCCACAACAAAAUAUAGACCGAGUGUCUCAAAGAGCUGAAACUUAUUUUCUCACAGUUCUGGGGCUGGAUGUCCAAGAUCAAGUACUGGUAGGGCUGGUUUCUGAUGAAAGCUCUCUCUGGGCUUGUACCUGGCCCCAUUCUCACUGUGUCCUCAUAUGACCCUUUCCCAGCUAUGUGGAAAGGUAGUGAUCACUGGUGUCCUCUAGUUCUAAAGGUGAAGCUCUUCACGCUACAUCUCUCGGACAUGACAACACCGAUGUUCUAUUCCCUUCACUCUUCCCUUGGCCUCCAUUCCCCUGAUGAAGUGCUUCUGUGCUGCUCCUUAGUGCCACUGACACCCCCAAAUCUUCAUACUGUUGUCCAUCGUGGCUGUACCAGUUUACAUUCCCACCAACAUGUAGGAGGGGUCCCUUUUCUACACAUCCUCUCCAGCACUUGUUGUUUGUAGAAUUUUUGGUGAUGGCCAUCCUGACCUAUGUGAGGUGAUACUUCUUUAUAGUUUUGGUUUGCAUGUCUCUAAUAAUUAGUGAUGUUGAGGAUCAUUCAUAUCCUUUUUUGCAAUUUCUAUGUGGGGUGUGUGGGGUAGGCUUCCCAGGUGGCUCAGUGGGUAAAGAAUGCACCUGCAAUGCAGGAGUCCCAGGUUCACUCCCCAAUUUGGGAAGAUCCCCUGGAGGAGGGCAUUCCAUUCCAGUAUUCUUGCCUGGAGAAUUCCAUGGAGAGAGGAGCCUGGUGGGCUGCAGUCCAUGGGGGUGCAAAGAGUCCCACAUGACUGAAGUGCCUGAGCUUAUCUUCUUUGGAGAAAUAGCUAUGUAGAUCUUCUGCCCAUUUUUGUUUUUCUUUUAUUUUAGUAUUGAGCUGCAUGAGCUGUUUGAAUAUUUUGGAGAUUAAUGCCUUGUUGAUUGCUUCUUUGGAAAAUAUUUUCUCCCAUUCUGAAAUGGUCUUUCUUUUGAAAAAUGUUUAUUUGUCUGUUUAUUUGGCUAGGUCAGAUCUUAUAACUUGUGGUGGGAUGUGGGAUCUUUAUUGCAUCAUGUGGGAUAUUUCACUGCAACGUGGGCUCAGUAGUUGCACGUGGGCUCAGUUUCCCCCAGCAUGUGAAAUCAUUGUUUCCCGACCAGGGAUUGAACGCACUUCUCCAGCAUUAACCACUGGACUACCAGGGAUCAAAAAAGAUAUUGCUAUAAUUUAUGUCAAGAAGUGUUCUGCCUAUGUUUUUCUCUAAGGGUCUUAUACUAUUUGGCCUUACAUUUAGGUGUUUAAACCACUUGAGUUUAUUUUUCUGCAUGGUGUUUUUUUCACGUGGCUGUCCAGUUUCUCAGCACCACUUACUGAAGAGACUGCCUCUUCUCCAUUGUAUAUUUUUGCCUCCUUUGACAUAGAGUACACAACCACGUGUGUGUGAGUUUAUCUCUGGACUUUCUACCCAGAAAUAUGGUGUAUAUUUCCGUUUUUGUGCUAGUAGCAUACUGCUUUUAGUAACUAGAUUUUUAGUAUAGUCUGAUUUCAGGGACCCUCAUCCCUCUAGUUCUGUUUUCUUUCUCAAGAUUGCUUUUGCUAUUUCAUACAAAUUAAAUUUUUUCUGUUUUAGUUUUGUGAAAAAGGCCAUGUAAGACAAACCCACAGUUAGCACCAUACUCAACAGUGAAAAGCUGAGAGCACUUUCUUUAAUUAAGAAAAUUUAGAUGAAUCCUCUUAACCAUUUCUGUAACAGUCAUAUCAUUUGUGUGUGUGUGUUUGUGUGUGCACUGUAUAUGUGAACCAGUGUUCCUGAUAGUAUCUUUGUGCAUGAUCUUUUCUUAGAGUUUAGGCUUCUUUGUUGUAUAUCAGCUCUCUCUGGGUUCAAGGAAAGGCAUGACUUUGUAGUUUCUAUGAUUAUUUCUCAUUACUAGUUUGGUGUUACCCGUUUCCAUUUUCUAUUUUCUAGCCAGAAAUGUCAGUAUUCUCUAUUUUCUUCUAUAUUUUAAUAAUUUUGUUUCAUUUCUAAGUUUUAAACUUUAAAUCAUCAGCAUAUAGCCAUGCAAAUGCAUAUAUUUAUAAGGUAUCUAUUUACUAAGUUAGUUUUCUAUUAAAAAAGAAAGACCCAGAGGAAUUGGGUGGAGAGGGUGGUGGGAGCGGGGAUCGGGAUGGGGAAUACGUGUAAAUCCAUGGCUGAUUCAUAUCAAUGUAUGACAAAACCCACUGAAAUGUUGUGAAGUAAUUAGCCUCCAACUAAUAAAAAAAAAAACAUUAAAAAAA